rnacentral:rRNA from 1 species
AUUGAACGCUGGCGGCAGGCCUAACACAUGCAAGUCGAACGAGUGGCGGACGGGUGAGUAAUGUCUGGGAAACUGCCCGACGGAGGGGGAUACCUACUGGAAACGGUAGCUAAUACCGCAUACCAUCGGAUGUGCCCAGAUGGGAUUAGCUAGGAGGGGGGGUAAUGGCUCACCUAGGCGACGAUCCCUAGCUGGUCUGAGAGGAUGACCAGCCCCACUGGAACGGAGACACGGGCCAGACUCCUACGAGAGGCAGCAGUGGGGAAUAUUGCACAAUGGGCGCAAGCCUGAUGCAGCCAUGCCGCGUGUAUGAAGAAGGCCUUCGGGUUGUAAAGUACUUUCAGCGAGGAGGCGUUACUCGCAGAAGAAGCACCGGCUAACUCCGUGCCAGCAGCCGCGGUAAUUC